AACUAAACAACCUACAAUCGUAUUGAGAGAAUGUUCCAAACUAAUCUACAACGGUAAAGAAAAUUCAAAAUGGCAUGGAGCGGGGAAUGGCACAUCGAAGAUGAAGAGGCAAAGCAGAGGAUCAAAAAAUAGCAACUGAAUGAAGACAUAAUUCUUCCUGCAGAUUUUGAGUCCAUAUUGUUGCAUCUCUGCAUGAGACAAUGUUUGGUUUCUCCUCUGGAGAGGUGCUGCUACUUUUGGGAGCAACCGUUGCUCUUAUUGGGCCAAAAGAUGUACCGAGGAUUGCUAGAGCGGCUGGCAGGUUAGCUGGUAA